UCUAAUAUGGCAGAUUAGUGCAAUGGAUUUAAACCCCAUAUAUAAAGUUUUUCUUUUUUUAGAA
rnacentral:tRNA from 2 species